UCCCUUGUGUCUCAGCUGGUAAAGAAUCUGCCUGCAAUGUGGGAGACCUGGGUUCGAUCCCCAGGUUGGGAA
rnacentral:tRNA from 1 species